GAUGAACGCUGGCGGCGUGCCUAAUACAUGCAAGUCGAGCGAACAGACGAGGAGCUUGCUUUUCUGACGUUAGCGGCGGACGGGUGAGUAACACGUGGAUAACCUACCUAUAAGACUGGGAUAACUUCGGGAAACCGGAGCUAAUACCGGAUAAUAUUUUGAACCGCAUGGUUCAAUAGUGAAAGACGGUCUUGCUGUCACUUAUAGAUGGAUCCGCGCUGCAUUAGCUAGUUGGUAAGGUAACGGCUUACCAAGGCAACGAUGCAUAGCCGACCUGAGAGGGGGAUCGGCCACCCUGGAACUGAGACACGGUCCAGACUCCUACGGGAGGCAGCAGUAGGGAAUCUUCCGCAAAGGGCGAAAGCCUGACGGAGCAACGCCGCGUGAGUGAUGAAGGUCUUCGGAUCGUAAAACUCUGUUAUUAGGGAAGAACAUAUGUGUAAGUAACUGUGCACAUCUUGACGGUACCUAAUCAGAAAGCCACGGCUAACUACGUG
rnacentral:rRNA from 1 species